AUUGAACGCUAGCGGGAUGCUUUACACAUGCAAGUCGAACGGAGUGGCGGACGGGUGAGUGAUAUAUCGGAACGUGCCAAGGAGCGGGGGAUAACUACUCGGAAGAGUGGCUAAUAACGCAGACUAUUGGAGCGGCCGGUAUCGGAUUAGCUAGUUGGUGGGGUAAAGGCUCACCAAGGCAACGAUCCGCAGCGGGUUUGAGAGGACGACCAGCCACACUGGGACUGAGAGACGGCCCAGACUCCUACGCUAGGCAGCAGUGGGGAAUUUUGGACAAGGGGGUAAACCCUGAUCCAGCCAUCCCGCGUGUAUGAUGAAGGCCUUCGGGUUGUAAAGUACUUUUGGCAGAGAAGCGGUAUCUGCAGAAUAAGCACCGGCUAACUACGUGCCAGCAGCCGCGGUAAUAC
rnacentral:rRNA from 1 species